rnacentral:misc_RNA from 1 species
UCCCGGUUAACCCGGGCAGUCUCAUUAGAGUUCCCACCUUAAAUGUUGGCAACUAAUGAUAAGGGUUGCGCUCGUUGCGGGACUUAACCCAACACCUCACGGCACGAGCUGACGACAGCCAUGCAGCACCUGUGCAGAAGUCCCGAAGGAACACCCUAUUUCUAGAGUUGUCUUCUGCAUGUCAAGCCUGGGUAAGGUUCUUCGCGUUGCAUCGAAUUAAACCACAUGCUCCACUGCUUGUGCGGGUCCCCGUCAAUUCUUUUGAGUUUUACACUUGCGUGCGUACUCCCCAGGCGGUAUACUUAUCGCGUUAGCUACGGCACAACCGGGGUUGAUUCCAGUUACACCAAGUAUACAUCGUUUACGGCAAGGACUAC